CUUCACGGGGGCCCUAAUGGGCAUCGUGGGAGGCUGUGGAGCCGGAGUGAUGGACGGUAAACGUGUGAUGUGUUGACAAGGGAUUUUUUUCUUUCUCUCUCUCCCCACAGCAGUCGGCCACAGAGACCGAGGAGCUUAUUUCACACUUCAUUUCAUUUUAAUACCUGGAAGAGCGUCGGGAGAGAAGAGCCCCGCCUCUACCAGCCAGAUGAGCAAACACUGACACUCUCUGCAGUAAAACAGCUGAUCCAACAAAACAGAAGCCAUGGUCAUGGACCCACGAGCUGCAGAAGCUAGCUUUCCAAUCAGCUAAACAGACUCAAUAACUCCACGCUGACGUUUUGGCCCAUUUUACACGAAGGGGAUCCAGGGUACGGUUGUGCUUUGUGGACGCCGUCUGCUGCUCCACACGCCCGGCGUCCCCCGGCAGACGUCACUUCCACCCUGGACUAACGUCACCCUGCUCCCAGGCUGGGUUUGUGCCGACGCCAUCGGUUCUUGGGAACCGGAAGAACGCAGGCCAGGAUGUCUCCUCACACAUUAACAAAGGAAGCCAUCGCUGAAAACAAACAGGAAGUCGGCCAUCUUGGUCUUUUACUUACAUUUUUUGGCGGGAAAAAAAACAGGUCGUAUUUUAACAAACUCCGCCCAGUAGUUUUCAUUAAAAGAGUCGUGGUUAAAAUGACAGAUGCUACACAGAUAGGUGAUGAUAAGUUGUGAAUAUUAUUUUCCUACGCGAUAAGAUGUGGGCGUGGUAUGGCACCAAACUUUGCUCCGAUGGUUUUUGGCCAUUUUUGGCGAAAACAACAGGUCGUACUUUAACGAACUUCUCUUAGAGACUUGAACCAAAUGAGUCACAAAUAAAAUGAUGGAUAUUACACAUAUAAGUGAAGAUAAAUUUGUAAUAUAUUUUUCCUACGCCAUAAGAUGUGGGCGUGGUAUGGCGCCAAACUUUGCUCCGAUGGUUUUUGGCCAUUUUUGGCGAAAAUCACAGGUCAUACUUUAACGAACUUCUCUUACAGACUUGAACCAAAUGAGUCACAAAUAAAAUGAUAGAUAUUACACAUAUAGGCGAUGAUAAAUUGUGAAUAUAUUUUUCCUACGCCAUAAGAUGUGGGCGUGGUAUGGCGCCAAACUUUGCUCCGAUGGUUUUUGGCCUUUUUCGGCAAAAAGUAAGUGUCGUACUUUAAUGAAAUCCUCCUAAGGACUUUGGCCACAUAAAUUGCAAUUAAAUUGAUGGAUAUUACACAUAUAAGCGAUGAUAAAUUGCAAACAAAUUUUUCCUACGCCAUAAGAUGUGGGCGUGGUUUGGCGCCAAACUUUGCUCUGAUGGUUUUUGGCCAUUUUUGGCGAAAACAACAGGUCGUACUUUGACCAACUUCUCUUAGAGACUUGAACCAAAUGAGUCACAAAUAAAAUGAUAGAUAUUACACAUAUAGGUGAUGGUAAAUUGAGAAUAUAUUUUUCCUACGUGAUAAGAUGUGGGCGUGGUAUGGCGCCAAACUUUGCUCCGAUAGUUUUUGGCCAUUUUUGGCGAAAACAACAGGUCAUAUUUUAACGAACUCCUCUUAGAGACUUGAACCAAAUGAGUCACAAAUAAAAUGAUAGAUAUUACACAUAUAGGCGAUGAUAAAUUGUGAAUACAGUUUUCCUACGCCAUAAGAUGUGGGCGUGGUAUGGCGCCAAAUUUUGUUGCAAUGGUUUUUGGCCUUUUUUCGGCAAAAAGCAAGUGUCGUACUUUAACGAACUCCUCCUAGGGACUUUGGCCAAAUAAAUUGCAAUUAAAUUGACAGAUAUUACACAUAUAAGUGAAGAUAAAUUGCGAAUACAUUUUUCCUACGUGAUAAGAUGUGGGCGUGGUAUGGCGCCAAACUUUGCUCCGAUGGUUUUUGGCCAUUUUGGGCGAAAAUCACAGGUCAUACUUUAACGAACUUCUCUUACAGACUUGAACCAAAUGAGUCACAAAUAAAAUGAUAUAUAUUACACAUAUAGGCGAUGAUAAAUUGAGAAUAUAUUUUUCCUACGCCAUAAGAUGUGGGCGUGGUAUGGCGCCAAACUUUGCUCUGAUGGUUUUUGGCCUUUUUUCCGGCAAAAAGUAAGUGUUGUACUUUCAUGAACUCUUCCUACAGACUUUGGCCAAAUAAAUUGCGAUUAAAUUGACAGAUAUUACACAUAUAAGUGAAGAUAAAUUGUGAAUAUAUUUUUCCUACGCCAUAAGAUGUGGGCGUGGUAUGGCGCCAAACUUUGCUCUGAUGGUUUUUGGCCUUUUUUUAGGCAAAAAGCAAGUGUAGUACUUUAACAAACUCCUCCUAGGGACUUUGGCCAAAUAAAUUGCAAUUAAAUUGAUAGAUUUAAAACAAAUAAGUGAUGAUAAAUUGCGAACAAAUUUUUCCUACGCCAUAAGAUGUGGGCGUGGUAUGGCGCCAAUUUUUGUUCCUAUGGUUUUUAGCCAUUUUUGGCGAAAACAACAGGUCGUACUUUGACCAACUCCUCCUAAGGACUUUGGCCAAGUGAGUUGCAAUUAAAUUGGCAAAAAUUACACAUAUAAGCGAUGAUAAAUUGUGAAUAUAUUUUUCCUACGCCAUAAGAUGUGAGCGUGGUAUGGCGCCAAACUUUGCUCUGAUGGUUUUUAGCCAUUUUUGGCGAAAAUAACAGGUCGUACUUUGACCAACUUCUCCUAGGGACUUUGGCCAAGUGAGUUGCGAUUAAAUUGAGAAAUAUUACACAUAUAAGCGAUGAUAAAUUGUGAAUAUAUUUUUCCUACGUGAUAAAAUGUGGGCGUGGUAUGGCGCCAAACUUUGCUCCGAUGGUUUUUGGCCUUUUUUCCGGCAAAAAGUAAGUGUCGUACUUUAACAAACUUCUCUUAGAGACUUGAACCAAAUGAGUCACAAAUAAAAUGAUAGAUAUUACACAUAUAGGCGAUGAUAAAUUGUGAAUAUAUUUUCCCUACGCCAUAAGAUGUGGGCGUGGUAUGGCGCCAAACUUUGCUCCGAUGGUUUUUGGCCUUUUUUCGGCAAAAAGUAAGUGUCGUACUUUAACGAACUCCUCCUAGGGACUUUGGCCAAAUAAAUUGCAAUUAAAUCGACAGGUAUCACACAUAUAGGCGAUGAUAAAUUGCGAAGAAAUUUUUCCUACACCAUAAGAUGUGGGCGUGGUAUGGCGCCAAACUUUGUUCCGAUUGUUUUUGGCCAUUUUUGGCGGAAACAACAGGUCGUACUUUAACGAGCUCCUCUUAGAGACUUGAACCAAAUGAGUCACAAAUAAAAUGAUGGAUAUUACACAUAUAGGCGAUGAUAAAUUGUGAAUACAGUUUUCCUACGCCAUAAGAUGUGGGCGUGGUCUGGCGCCAAACUUUGCUUUGAAGGUUUCUGGCCUUUUUUCCGGCAAAAAGUAAGUGUUGUACUUUAACAAACUCCUCCUAGGGACUUUGGCCAAAUAAAUUGCAAUUAAAUUGACAGAUAUUACACAUAUAAGUGAUGAUAAAUUGCAAACAAAUUUUUCCUACGCCAUAAGAUGUGGGCGUGGUUUGGCGCCAAACUUUGCUCUGAUGGUUUUUAGCCAUUUUUGGCGAAAACAACAGGUCAUACUUUGACCAACUUCUCCUAGGGACUUUGGCCAAGUGAGUUGCGAUUAAAUUGACAAAUAUUACACAUAUAAGCGAUGAUAAAUUGUGAAUAUAUUUUUCCCACGCCAUAAGAUGUGGGCGUGGUAUGGCGCCAAACUUUGCUCCGAUGGUUUUUGGCCAUUUUUGGCGAAAACAACAGGUCGUACUUUGACCAACUUCUCUUAGAGACUUGAACCAAAUUAGUCACAAAUAAAAUUAUAGAUAUUACACAUAUAGGUGAUGGUAAAUUGUGAAUACAGAUUUCUUACGCCAUACGAUGUCGGCGUGGUGUGGCGCCAAACUUUGCUCCAAUGGUUUUUGGCCUUUUUUCGGCCAAAAAAAGGUGUCGUACUUUAACGAAAUCCUCCUAGGGACUUUGGCCAAAUAAAUUGCAAUUAAAUUGACAGAUAUUACACAUAUAAGUGAAGAUAAAUUGUGAAUAUAUUUUUCCCACGCCAUAAGAUGUGGGCGUGGUAUGGCGCCAAACUUUGUUCCGAUGGUUUUUGGCCUUUUUGGCGAAUACAACAGGUCGUACUUUAACGAACUUCUCUUAGAGACUUGAACCAAAUGAGUCACUAAUAAAAUGAUAGAUAUUACACAUAUAGGCGAUGAUAAAUUGUAAAUACAGUUUUCCUACGCCAUAAGAUGUGGGCGUGGUAUGGCGCCAAACUUUGCUCCGAUGGUUUUUGGCCUUUUUUUUGCAAAAACAACAGGUCGUACUUUGACCAACUCCUCCUAGAGACUUUGGCCAAAUAAAUUGCAAUUAAAUCGACAGGUAUUACACAUAUAGGCGAUGAUAAACUGCGAAUACAUUUUUCCUACGCCAUAAGAUGUGGGCGUGGUAUGGUGCCAAACAUUGCUCUGAUGGUUUUUGGCCAUUUUUGGCGAAAACAACAAGUCGUACUUUAACGAACUCCUCUUAAAGACUUGAACCAAAUUAGUCACAAAUAAAAUGAUAGAUAUUACACAUAUAGGCGAUGAUAAAUUGUGAAUACAGUUUUCCUACGCCAUAAGAUGUGGGCGUGGUUUGGCGCCAAACUUUGCUCCGAUGGUUUUUGGCCUUUUUUCGGCAAAAAGUAAGCGUCGUACUUUAACGAAAUCCUCCUAGGGACUUUGGCCAAAUAAAUUGCAAUUAAAUUGACAAAUAUUACACAUAUAAGUGAAGAUAAAUCGUGAAUAUAUUUUUCCUACGCCAUAAGAUGUGGGCGUGGUUUGGCGCCAAACUUUGUUCCGAUGGUUUUUGGCCAUUUUUGGCGGAAACAACAGGUCGUACUUUAACGAACUUCUCUUAGAGACUUGAACCAAACGAAUCACAAAUAAAAUGACAGAUAUUACACAUAUAGGCGAUGAUAAAUUGUGAAUAUAUUUUUCCUACGUGAUAAGAUGUGGGCGUGGUAUGGCGCCAAACUUUGCUCCGAUAGUUUUUGGCCAUUUUUGGCGAAAACAACAGGUCGUACUUUAACGAACUCCUCUUAGAGACUUGAACCAAAUCAGUCACAAAUAAAAUUAUAGAUAUUACACAUAUAAGCGUUGAUAAAUUGCGAACUAAUUUUUCCUACGCCAUAAGAUGUGGGCGUGGUAUGGCGCCAAACUUUGUUACGAUGGUUUUUGGCCUUUUUUCGGCAAAAAGUAAGUGUCGUUUUUUAAAGGAAAUCAUCCUAGGUACUUUGGCCAAAUAAAUUGUAAUUAAAUCGACAGGUAUUACACAUAUAGGCGAUGAUAAAUUGAGAACAAAUUUUUCCUACGCCAUAAGAUGUGGGCGUGGUAUGGCGCCAAACUUUGCUCCGAUGGUUUUUGGCCUUUUUUUUGCAAAAACAACAGGUCGUACUUUGACCAACUUCUCCUAGGGACUUUGGCCAAGUGAGUUGCGAUUUAAUUGACAAAUAUUACACAUAUAGGCGAUGAUAAAUUGAGAACAAAUUUUUCCUACGCCAUAAGAUGUGGGCGUGGUAUGGCGCCAAACUUUGCUCCGAUGGUUUUUGGCCUUUUUUUUGCAAAAACAACAGGUCGUACUUUGACCAACUUCUCCUAGGGACUUUGGCCAAGUGAGUUGCGAUUAAAUUGACAAAUAUUACACAUAUAAGCGAUGAUAAAUUGUGAAUAUAUUUUUCCCACGCCAUAAGAUGUGGGCGUGGUAUGGCGCCAAACUUUACUUUGAUGGUUUCUGGCCUUUUUUUGGCGAAAACAACAGACCAUACUUUCACCAACUUCUCCUAGGGACUUUGGCCAAGUGAGUUGCGAUUAAAUUGGCAAAAAUUACACAUAUAAGUGAUGAUAAAUUGUGAAUACAUUUUUUCCUACGCCAUAAGAUGUGGGCGUGGUAUGGCGCCAAACUUUGCUCCGAUAGUUUUUGGCCUUUUUUGUGUGAAAACAACAGGUCGUACUUUAACGAACUUCUCAUAGAGACUUGAACCAAAUGAGUCACAAAUAAAAUGAUAGAUCUUACACAUAUAGGUGAUGGUAAAUUGAGAAUAUAUUUUUCCGACGUGAUAAGAUGUGGGCGUGGUAUGGCGCUAAACUUUGCUCCGAUGGUUUUUGGCCUUUUUUCCGGCACAAAGUAAGUGUCGUACUUUAACGAAAUCCUCCUAGGGACUUUGGCCAAAAAAAUUGCAAUUAAAUUGACAGGUAAUACACAUAUAGGUGAUGAUAAAUUGCGAACAAAUUUUUCCUACGCCAUAAGAUGUGGGCGUGGUAUGGCGCCAAACUUUGUUCCGAUGUUUUUUGGCCUUUUUUUUUUUUAAUACAACAGUUCGUACUUUAACGAACUCCUCUUAGAGACUUGAACCAAAUGAGUCACAAAUAAAAUGAUAGAUAUUACACAUAUAGGCGAUGAUAAAUUGUGAAUAUAUUUUUCCUACGUGAUAAGAUGUGGGCGUGGUAUGGCGCCAAACUGAGAAGAACGUUGUAUCAAAGUCUUGUGCCUGCUGGGAUGCCAAAGUGUUGAAUAUUUUGCUAGAAUUAUUGACUAUGAAUAAAAUCAAGAAUAAGAUUUCCAAAUCCGAGUUUAAGAACCCCCGCAUAGCUGUUAUUUACAUUUAUUUACACACUAUGAUGUUCUAAAUGUCGUUCUAAGCCUUCCAGUCAAAAUUCUUCUUGCACAAAAACCAUCAUAGAUUGUUUAUUUGCGUGGAUGCUUUGAAAUGCGGAUUCAGCCUCCGAGUCUGAAGGCUCCCAAUCCUCUGCAUGAAUGAAAGUGAAUGAAUGAAUGAAUGUGUAUUGGCUGACCUCGGGUCAUGUGACAUGCAUGGCACCCAUAUUGGUGGGAAUUGAAUUAGCAACUUUGUCAUUCCCGGGGGCGGGAGUCGGGUUAAUUCCCCGAGAUCAGCGAUUCUCACCAAAGAAUGACUUCAUUUAAUUCUGUGAUUGUAACACUUGUAUUUUCCUCGACUCAAACACAGUGUGACUGUUCAAAAUGAGUGUAAUGUUAUAUAAUGCUUGCUGAAUAAAACCUCAGACUUGUUUUUAAUACAGA